rnacentral:rRNA from 1 species
GCAAGUCGAGCGCGCCUUUCGGGGUGAGCGGCGGACGGGUUAGUAACGCGUGGGAAUAUACCCUUUGGUACGGAAUAGCCUCUGGAAACGGAGAGUAAUACCGUAUGAGCCCUUCGGGGGAAAGAUUUAUCGGAGAAGGAUUAGCCCGCGUUAGAUUAGGUAGUUGGUGGGGUAAUGGCCUACCAAGCCUACGAUCUAUAGCUGGUUUGAGAGGAUGAUC